UACGUAGGGGGCAAGCGUUGUCCGGAUUUAUUGGGCGUAAAGAGCGUGUAGGCGGUUAGGUAGGUCCGUUGUGAAAACUCGAGGCUCAACCUCGAGACGCCGAUGGAAACCAUCUGACUAGAGUCCGGAAGAGGAGAGUGGAAUUCCUGGUGUAGCGGUGAAAUGCGCAGAUAUCAGGAAGAACACCCGUGGCUAAGGCGGCUCUCUAGUACGUGACUGACGCUGAGACGUGAAAGCGUGGGGAGCGAACAGG
rnacentral:rRNA from 1 species